CAUAUUUCUUCCCCAACUUCUUCUUCUCCAUUUUCAUCAAACUUGCAAACUAACCCACCCAUUUCGAACCGGCAUCCUGCGAAGACCACUUCCUCCCUAACCCAGUGCCAUCUCACGUCGCCUCUCUCUGCCCAGCGCCACCCUGCCUCGUGCCGCCUUCCUCUACCCAGCGCCACCCUGCUACACUGUCCCUCUAUGCAGCGCCACCCCGUGACACUCCUUGGUUGCGCCGCCCCUCCCCGAAGCAAGUACAUAUCAGUGCAAAUCUGCAUACGCAGGAUCUUCAAGGUCAACUCCUUCUAUUCAACUCCAUUAUUUUUGUGGUGUUAUUUACUCUGUUGGAUUCCUUUGUGUUCUGUUAAUUAAACCCUAACCUAGACCCUUCCUUUCCGUCCACUUCGCACUCUUCUUUUCCUUCCCCCUACUCUGCUCGCACAAGAAGCUAUUUGGCCCAAGGUUUUCCAGGUUAUUUCCUUUGGUUGGCAUUAUGCCUCCCAAUCUUGCAAUUUGCUGCUUGUUUCUAGAGGAGCCUGAUGAUUCCGUGCAUAUAUUCACCGGUCAUACCGGUGAGGUUUAUACAGUUGCCUGCAGCCCAAUGGAUGCUUCGUUAGUGGCAACUGGGGGUGGAGAUGACAAAGGAUUUCUUUGGAGGAUUGAGCAUGGAGAUUAGAACUUUUGAGCUCCAAGGUCAUGGAGAUUCCAUUUGCUGUUUAGCCUUUAGCACUGAUGGACCGUUGCUGGCAUCUGGAUGCUUGGGUGGACUUAUUAAAAUCUGGGACAUACCGUCCCAAAAUCUCAAAUUUUCACUUGAUGGUCCCGAAGAGGGCAUUGAGUGGAUCAGGUGGCAUCCAAGAGGACAUUUGGUCUUGGCUGGUUCGGAGGACUCUAUUGUUUGGAUGUGGAAUGCUGAUAAAGGUGCCUGCCUCAAUACAUUUUCAGGUCAUUGUGGUAGCGUCACUUGUGGUGAUUUUACCCCCGAUGGUAAAGUAGUUUGUACUGGUUCUGAUGAUGCAACAUUGUUAUUAUGGGAUCCAAAAAGUGGUAAAAACAUUCAUGUGGUAGGGGGUAUGUAAUUGAAUUUCAGCUCCAAAUCUCCUAUUUUGUUUUUCUUAUGGAAAUUAUAGUAGUUAAAAUUCAACCUCAGAAAGGAAAGUGUAGAAGUUUCAACCUCAAGAAAUGAAGUAUAAAAGGAACUGUCAAAACUCUUAAAUAAAGUGACAAUGGAUAAUUCAUGAUCUGCAAAUUUAUUUGUCGAAAACCAAAAAUAUUGGCACAUUUUUAAGCCACUUGAGGAAGAAUCUAGAAAAACUUUCCCAUCUGGUGAACCUUAUGAGGUAGGCAGAUUUAGAGAAUCUAUCUGCGUGUGCUCUGGUGGGCCUUAGGGUGUGAAAUUAGUGAGUUAGGGACUUGGGAUUUUAUUAUGAUGUGAUUAGGGUCUAUGGUUUAGAAAAUGGCCUGGAAAGCAUUGGAUUUGAAAGGGUGAAAGGGGGCCAAAACAAAGAACACAUGCUGGAAGAGUUCUGUUCUCUAAAAUAAUUAUGUUAGGGUUUGUUUCAUUUAUUAUUUGUGGCCAAAGGCUUAGGGAUCAUAUGUCAGGUUUCAUGAUUUUUAUAGGAUUAACGAAUUUGAUUUGAUUUGGGCUUACAGAAGAGAUGAUAAAACGAUGAGAUUGAAUUGAAUCUGUUCACAGCUGUUGAUGUGAACAGUACUUUCUAUUUUUCUACCAAUCGACUCUAAAAUCAUCGAGUCCAAAGGCACCCAUAUAGACUCUUGAUAAAAACUUCUCCUAAUAGGUGUGAAGCUCUCACUUUGACUCAUGAAGAAACUCAUGGCCCAUGACUAUGGCCCACAACCAGGAAUUAUAUAAAUUUGAAAAUAUCCUUUUGAUUGAACAAAUUUGAAAAUAUCCUCAACUCUAGAAAUCCAAAAAGACAUCAUAAAAGGUGUUCAGUAGUCAAGAACCUAACAAGGUAUUUUCUCUUCUAUACGUCCUUUUUGGAAGAUGCCAUUGAUCCUUUUGCAAGGGAUGGUGUCUUCUCAGUAGAGACUAUUGGAGUUUUUACCAAAGCCUUCAUUCCUUUACAAGACUUCAUGUAUUAAUGAUCAUUUUCAAGCUUGAACAACUAUCUGCAUUGUCUGCAUUUAAGUCUAAAGUAUUUUGUUUGAAUUUAUGGUUUAUGGUUUUAUUCUCAAGGGGACUUAGAUCACACUUUUAAGUUCAGUAUUCCAACAUUUGCAGCAUAGCUACUCUUCACAAUUGAUGGUAUUUUGAUUAACUCAUUCUUUAUCAUGGCUUUGGUUUGUUCUCAAGUCAAGAAAUGAUUAAAGUUUCUUCUUGAUUGCAUUCUAGCACUACAAUUUCUUUGAUCUCUGCUACAGAUGGUUGGUACUUGUUGAUGAUCAAUCACUCAGUUCCUUCAAUACAUUGAAAUGUGUGGGGAUUUUUACUAUGAUGCAUGUCUGCUUACAUGUGUAAAGUUAAUUAAGAACCAUACUUUUCUUGGCCAUUUUAUAUUAUUCUGCACAUGGUCCAAAUAUCAAGGCAAAAAUUGAGUCUAUGAGUAUAUUAUUAUUAGCUUCUACCCUUUUUAUUGUUUUAGUUCCGAUUGUUAGGAUAUAUGUGGUCAACUCUAAAUGGUGGGAUGGGGCUACAUUGUGUUUGAGUUAAGGUGGGAUGAAAUAUUUAAUAUAAUAUGCGUUGGAUAGAUGGAAAUUGGUUCUUUCUUAAACACACUUCCAAGUUCUAAAAUUUUCUGCAACAGAUUCUGUUAUGGUUUCCUUCAACUUCAUGUAUCCUUACAUUUUCCCCCUAAUACUUGUUUAGUUGGGUGUGUAACUAUGUGGAGGGAAGGUAGAACUUUGCAGAAUUCGUGUUGUCUACUGCUUGAGGAGGUGAGAUGAUUUUCUGCCUUGUUUUGUUCCAUGCCGACAUGCUACUACAAAAAGGUUCUGCUAUAGUUUCGUUUCUUUCCUUUCUUAGUUAUAUGCUCAACACAAAAAUAGCAACCAAAACAUCUGCAUUAUCUGAGAGAUUUUGCUGCAAUCAGAAUUUUCGUAUGGUGAUCUUCCACUUCAAUUUUUGUUCAUUAAAAUCUCAUAUAUUACUUGUUUAGUUUAGUGUAUAACCAAGUGGAGGGAGUGCUUAAACAAGGGAAAUUUACACAACCUAUUGCACAAAAGACGUAAGAUAAUUUUUCUACUCCAUUUUGCCCCAAACAUUUUAGUUUUUGCUGUGAUUUUAGUCCUCUCUUUUUAAUCCUUUUCAGAACUUCAUUUUUGUUUGUCAAACUCCUAAAACUCAGUUUGUACUUGUGAGCUAUGUCCCCAAGCAAAUAAUUGAAGUGAACAGCCAAGGAUUUCUCCCAAACCAACUCUUCAUGUCCAAAUCAUAAAGAUCAGUCCACUAAUUGAAGGUAGACUGGAUAUGCAAUACAAGUUCUAAUAUGUGGCCACACAUUGAUAAGAUUGGAGUUGGAGAGAUUGAAAGGCAAAAAAAUGCUGAACAAUGAAUCCCCCC